rnacentral:rRNA from 1 species
AUUGAACGCUGGCGGCAGGCUUAACACAUGCAAGUCGAACGAGGGGCGGACGGGUGAGUAAUGCUUGGGAAUCUAGCUUAUGGAGGGGGAUAACUACGGGACACUGUAGCUCAUACCCCAUACCAUCAGAUGUGCCCAGAUGGGAUUAGCUCGUAGGUGGGGUAAUGGGUCACCUAGGAGACGAUCCCUCGCUGGUCUGAGAGGAUGACCAGCCACACUGGACCGGAGACACGGUCCAGACUCCUACGGUGUGCAGCAGUGGGGAAUAUUGCACAAUGGGGGCAAGCCUGAGGCAGCCAUGCCGCGUGUGUGAAGAAGGCCUUCGGGUUGUAAAGCACUUUCAGCGAGGAGGCGUGACUCGCAGAAGAAGCACCUGCUAACUCCGGGCCAGCAGCCGCGGUAAUAC